UUUUUGGAGGGUUUUUUUUGUUAUUAAUUUAGAAAUUGCAGGAUUUCAUUAUCCUUGUUGAUAUAUCUUUUUAAAACAGUAUCCAAAUUAAGUGAAUUCUAUCUAGUUAUUUCCAAGUAAGACUCUUGGGAAGAAUAAAAUAGGAAUUAUAAGAUUUUCAGAUAGUUAGCUUAUCUAAUCAUGCUAUAUUCUGCAUAUAUUAUAAAUUAAGCAUUAUUCUGUAAGAUUUUUUUUUAAUUUCAGAGCACUUAAAAUUUUAGAUAUGCAUUAUUUUAAAAAGUUCAUCAUAAUUUCCAGUCAUGUUGUAAACAGUAGUCAUUAUCCUAUAAGAUACUGAAGUCUGGUUUUAAAAGACUGUAUUACUUAAUUUCCUCUUUAAAAGAUAAAAUGCAACUGUCUUUUCAAAAACAGACUUGAUGAACUAUCUCUAGUGACACACUUGUUUUUAACAGUUACAUGUUCAAGCUUAAAUUUCAGUUUAAAAUUUUUUAAUUGG
rnacentral:lncRNA from 1 species